CAUCACUAGGCUAGUACAGAAGAGGAGUAGGUAGUAACUUUUUUUUUUUAAAUUAACAAAAUUUUCAUCACACUAUUAUCAAGGUGCAGCAAAGCAUUAUCUGAGGGCCCACCCAAUCUGAAAUGUCCUUUCUUCUGCUUUUUGUCUGCCUUAGCACUGAUAGGUUUGGAGCUGCCUGAGCAAAGAACUCAGCCUCUGAUUAAAGUCAGGUGUUGGGUACCGAUGCCAUCACCAGAUUCAGCAUAAAACUUGGGAUCCCAAGGCUUUCCAAACCUUCAGAUAUGCAUUUACUCUGCACAGAAAUUUCACUCUCUGGAGAGCUAGAUUUACUCUAGCAAGAAACACACAGUCAUAAAACUCUGCCCAGUCACAGCUGGCUAUCAGCACCUCAUGAUGGCAGGAUCACCUUGCCCCCCUAGGGAGCAGAGCCAUGGGCUGAAGGACGUGAGCAGGGCUGCAGCAAGAAGCCCAGGCUGCCCUGAGGUCUCCGGUUGUCAUGACAUCACUUUUCUCCCUUGCUGUAUCACACAAAAACUCUUAUUUUCUGCUGUUUUUCUAGUUACUGGUCUAACCUACUUGGGAAAUGCCAAACCUGUAAAGACAUCAGGAGCUGGCAG
rnacentral:lncRNA from 1 species